rnacentral:rRNA from 1 species
UACGAAGGGGGCUAGCGUUGUUCGGAAUUACUGGGCGUAAAGGGCGCGUAGGCGGUCCCUCAAGUCAGGCGUGAAAGCCCCGGGCUCAACCUGGGAACCGCGCUUGAGACUGAUGGGCUAGAGUUCGGGAGAGGAUGGUGGAAUUCCCAGUGUAGUGGUGAAAUGCGUAGAUAUCGGGAGGAACACCAGUGGCGAAGGCGACUACCUGGCCUGUUCUUGACGCUGAGGCGCGAAAGCUAGGGGAGCAAACGGG